GUGGGGAAUUUUGGACAAUGGGCGAAAGCCUGAUCCAGCCAUGCCGCGUGCAGGAUGAAGGCCUUCGGGUUGUAAACUGCUUUUGUCAGGGAAGAAAUCUUCUGGGCUAAUACCCCGGGCGGAUGACGGUACCUGAAGAAUAAGCACCGGCUAACUACGUGACAGCAGCCGCGGUAAUACGUAGGGUGCGAGCGUUAAUCGGAAUUACUGGGCGUAAAGCGUGCGCAGGCGGUUAUGUAAGACAGAUGUGAAAUCCCCGGGCUCAACCUGGGAACUGCCUCCAAAACUGCAUGACUAGAGUACGGUAGAGGGGGAUGGAAUUCCGCGUGUAGCAGUGAAAUGCGUAGAUAUGCGGAGGAACACCGAUGGCGAAGGCAAUCCCCUGGGCCUGCACUGACGCUCAUGCACGAAAGCGUGGGGAGCAAACAGGAUUAGAAACCCGGGUAGUCC
rnacentral:rRNA from 1 species